CAAUAGCGUAUAUUAAAGUUGUUGCGGUUAAAAGCUCGUAGUUGGAUUUCUGUCGAUGAGGGUCGGUCUGCCCGCAGUGGUGUGUACUCGAUUCGCCAUUGGCAUCUUCCUGGGGACUGCUUUUGCUCUUCGCUGAGUGGGGUGAAAUCCAGGACGUUUACUUUGAGGAAAUGAGAGUGUUUCAAGCAGGCAAAUGCCUUGAAUACGUUAGCAUGGAAUAAUAGCAUCGGACCAUCGUCCAGCUGUUGGUGUCUGGGCGAAGGUAAAGGUGAAUAGGGAUUGUUGGGGGCAUUCGUAUUUAACUGUCAGAGGUGAAAUUCUUGGAUUUGUUGAAGACGGACUACUGCGAAAGCAUCUGCCAAAGAUGUUCUCAUUGAUCAAGAACGAAAGUUAGGUGAUCGAAGAUGAUUAGAUACCAU
rnacentral:rRNA from 1 species